rnacentral:rRNA from 1 species
AACGAACGCUGGCGGCAGGCUUAACACAUGCAAGUCGAGCGCCCCGCAAGGGGAGCGGCAGACGGGUGAGUAACGCGUGGGAAUCUACCGAGCCCUACGGAAUAGCUCCGGGAAACUGGAAUUAAUACCGUAUACGCCCUACGGGGGAAAGAUUUAUCGGGGUUUGAUGAGCCCGCGUUGGAUUAGCUAGUUGGUGGGGUAAAGGCCUACCAAGGCGACGAUCCAUAGCUGGUCUGAGAGGAUGAUCAGCCACAUUGGGACUGAGACACGGCCCAAACUCCUACGGGAGGCAGCAGUGGGGAAUAUUGGACAAUGGGCGCAAGCCUGAUCCAGCCAUGCCGCGUGAGUGAUGAAGGUCUUAGGAUUGUAAAGCUCUUUCACCGGUGAAGAUAAUGACGGUAACCGGAGAAGAAGCCCCGGCUAACUUCGUGCCAGCCGCCGCGGUAAUAC